rnacentral:rRNA from 1 species
UGGAGGAAAGCAGGGGAUCGCAAGACCUUGCGCUUUUGGAGUGGCCGAUGCCUGAUUAGCUAGUUGGUAGGGUAAUGGCUUACCAAGGCGGCGAUCAGUAGUUGGUCUGAGAGGACGACCAGCCACACUGGGACUGAGACACGGCCCAGACUCCUACGGGAGGCAGCAGUGGGGAAUUUUGGACAAUGGGCGAAAGCCUGAUCCAGCAAUGCCGCGUGAGUGAAGAAGGCCUUCGGGUUGUAAAGCUCUUUCAGUCGAGAAGAAAAGGUUGUGACUAAUAAUCACAACUCAUGACGGUAUCGACAGAAGAAGCACCGGCUAACUACGUGCCAGCAGCCGCGGUAAUACGUAGGGUGCGAGCGUUAAUCGGAAUUACUGGGCGUAAAGGGUGCGCAGGCGGCUUUGUAAGUCAGAUGUGA